ensembl:lncRNA
CGAUCUGUAAAGCAGUAUCAGUAUCUAUCUCAAGUAAGAUGUAUAAAUUAGACUUACUCACCCAUACAACCAAGGGCACCCAGCAACAACAAGACUAUCAUCAUUUCCCGUGAUUGUAAACGUGAGUCCAGUGUAAACUGGGACCAGUUCACAGUUCAACAUGUAGGUGACGGCAAACUCUUUAGUGUGUUCACACUAUUCAGACAGAAGUAGUACAGCGCACUAUAACGUUAUUAAUACGGUAACAACACAAUGCCGCACGAAGCUCCGUAUUCAGAAUGCAGAAAACGGAGAAGGGCGUGUCCGUGCGUGGUGCGUUCACGUGUCAUCGGAGAUGGGUACCGCUCGUGUAUUUAUGCCUUGCGUUUGAGCCCCAAAAUCAAGAUUGCAUUACGUUCGAGAGCCUAAGGGGUCAGGCCGAGUGGAACUGAAUGUGACCCGAGUGGGGAAAGCUGAAUUCCAGUGUGUGUGCGCGGCGUUUAGCGGGGAGGUUUUCAACGGAACCGCCCUUCCUGAUUCUGGACGAGUCGAACAAACCCCUCAAGCGCGCAGCGUCACCGGGUUACGUCGGACCGGACCCAGGACCCAAGGUGCCUUAUCUCCUCUAGUUUGGUUAAUUUGGUCUGGAACAAAGGGGAAAGAAACACAUUGUUGCCAUUGUGUUAUUUAGCCUUUUAACAGCAACAUCAAGAUUGAUGAAUUGCAUCUGAAGGUUAAAUCCAACAAUAAUGUAACUGUGAGAGAAUUUGCAUUAUUUUCAUUUUUUCUCUAAAUAGAAAUUGUUUUAUGAUUAUAUCGUGGUGUACAUACAUAACAGCCCUUUUAAAUGUUGCUAUUCUUAAAAUUGUAGUUGUCGUGGGGCACAGAUUCUAUAAUUGUGGGUUAGGGUCAAUUUCAUUGCAUACAUCUGAUGGGGAUUAUAUUAAGUCCAGUAAGGCAGUUUAUUUAGCUUUCAAAAUACCUCAUUUAAAACACAAGUCAAAGUAUACUUACAUAUUUUACACAUAAUACAGACACAUAUUUAUACAAAAUAUGUAGACCACAUCUGUUAUGGUUAAUGAAUCAAGGCAUAUUCUCAAAAAAUACAGAGGGUAACAGUUUUCUAAGACAUAGUAGUAAAAGUAAAAACCUAAAAUAUCGUUAGUUAUAAUUAUAUAACAAAGGCCACACAGACACGUUGAUAUAUUUGGCUGAAUUGGCACGUAUGGGUUAGAAACAACCAAAAACGUUAAGUACAGCUGGUAACAGGGGAUUUAACUGGUGAUUGAUUGGUGUUGAUCAGGUUUAUGUCCUCACUGUAUAAAAUCUGCUACACAGACUUUCAGUCAUGACUCCAACAUUCCCCUUGAUAUACUUGCAGCAGGAGAAGGUGUACCUAUACAUUGCUUAUAUAACCUGAGUUUAAAAUACAAAUUCAUCCUUUCAUUUUACUACGGAUAUUACGAUCAUUUCCGUCCACUCAACAAAACCUAUAGUAUGGAGCUACAGUUAAGUUAACAUUUUUCUUAAAUUGUUAGACGUCUUUGUAUAACUCUUGACUGCUUAGUUAUCAAGAGUAUACCGGUUUGAUCACGUUGCAUUUGGAUUUAUAUAGCAAGAAAGAGAACAUCACACGCGUGAACCAACUGGUCCUGUGUCAACAUAGUGAGAAUUAUGUCUAGUUUUUCAACACGGUCCUCAUCCUGUGCACCGAUCGCCACGACUUUGCAGGAAUUUAUUGUUAAAUGUGCGUUUUGUCACACAGACCUAUCGAGGGCCCCUCCUCACAAAGUACAAUAAUGGCUUCAACAGUGCGUCGCCUGAGUUUUUGGAGUGUUUUUUACAGAAAGUUGAGUUUAUCUGAAGUAUAAACAUCCGAGAAAGCUGAGCUUGAACUGAGGGGGGGUGCAUACUGCGGCCCUUUCAGCUGAAACGUUGGCUCGGUGUCCGAGGAGAGAAAAUUAGUGGCGAGUGAAGGAGCUGCAUUGACUCCCUCCCCUCCUGGAGGAGCAACCUAAGGGAGGUGAAAAAACAACAACUAUGAAACACGUUUUACAUCCUGAUCAUACUGGGAAUUUGUUACAUAAAAGGCAGUGACUUUAUAAAAGGUAACAACUUUAUUUGUCCAAGUCACACUUCAAAUAAAUGUUGAAUUUUGUCCAAUGUUGUCUAGUUAUAAGCACAACUUAAAUAGAUAUAUGAACUUUCAGUAUGGAAAGGAAAAACGAUUAAAGCGAGAAAAUACAUGGCCAUUUGAGUAUUGUUUUAACCCAGACUUGGGCCAAAUCAGUGGAUCACACUACAAUGACUAACUGGCUGUAGGUUUGAGAACACUUACCAACGGCUCGAGAGAGAUAGUUGUAUGUUCCCUGGAAACUAGGGAACUCAUUGAGUAAGGAGUACUGGGAUCUCUAGCCGGUGCAGCAUAGUAACUCGGGCACCCGGGUUGAUUUGUGUCCUGCGAUUGGAAGGAUAUUGAAGUAAAAAGAGCAAUACGAUAUAAAUGAUAACAAACGGUUGGUCUAAUCUGAGGAAGUACUCACGUGGAGACACACAGCAGGUGGGGCUGCAGCCUGAGGAGCAAACUCGGCCCUCUUUUUACAACAGCACUUCCUCACACAGCAACAGCAGAAAAUCAGAGCAAAGAGAAUCCCAACAAUUAGUCCAACCAAAGAAAGAGUUGAAAAGGGGUCUGUAAGAGCAGAAGAAUGGGGCGGGGGUUACGUUCCUAUGAAUCAUCAGUUCAUUCCUGCAUUUAAGGAAAACAAUGUGCCGUUGCUCACCCGGGUCGACCACCAGCUCUGCGGUCUGGAACAGGUGGCCUCGUCGGUCUCUGAAGGCGAAGGUGCCCGAGUCUGUGAUUUGCACGGGGUAAAUCUGUACGCCCCCGCCAACGGACCGCAGCCUCCCUGCAAAACCUACUGAGUACGAGUCCAACUCCUCUUCUCUGACCAGACGGCCACCGCUCAUCAAUGUUUGGUUUUCCUUUUCCCCCACAGGUGUAAAAGCCGCCGUCCACAGGCGAUUGGCCAUAGGAUUUUCAAUCAAGACCUCGUCGUGAACCUUUGUAUUGUAGUAUCUCCGCAACUCUGUGUGUGAUAAAACGCAACAUUUCAUAUACACUGCACUCUAAAAGCUUGACGCAGAUUCGAUUUCCUAACAUCACCUUUGACUAUUAGCUUGAUCCUAAUGAGCAAAUUGUUGUCUUUUCCUCUGAAGAUGUAGUAGCCCAUGUCUGCCUGAUUGAGAUUCCCAAUCUCGUAGAAAUUACGGUUAAUCUGCCCUCUGCCCCCGUUGAUGGCUUGAGGGUCAGAGCGAUUCCACAAAACCUUCAGCUGGUCCACACCGUGAAGGGGAGUGAACUCCAGGAACUCUGCCUCUCUCGGAACCUUUGUUGAGUAACGGCCCCCGUAAUCCCGCAUGACCUCGUCGACACAUGCUGAAGAGGCAUAAACAAACACGGUGUUCGGUGUCCAGCCCACCGGGAGGAUCCCACGUAGUAACCGGGCACUCUCUUGCGCCAAUGGCGGACUUACACCCAGGAUCCGACCAACGUAACGGAGGCAUGUGACGCAUCUUGCGUAGGAGCUGCACAGAAUACAGGGCACCAUUUCCUUAAAUAAACCAAGCGAACCCACUGCACAUGCGCGCUCUGCAGAGGACGUUGUUAUCUCCUCGUCCCAUAAUCGCUCGCAGGUACCCAGCGGUGGAUGUACUGUAUUCUCCACGCAUCCAGGUGAAGAUGUCCUACAGUGCCAUGCUCGCCUUCCUUUCGGCCCUUCCUAUCUCUCUGGCAUGGGAUGCAUCAAGUAUAAGAGAAGAAGCCCAGAUUGUGUGUGCUGGGAGGGAAUUCCGUCUGCCGGUUUACUCCUCAUCCAGAAUGGUGACUUUUACACCAAACCCCGAGGGGCCACGCCGCGUCCUGCUGGACAAAACCAUUGUGAAGGACCCGCGGUUUGAGUGGACCAGAGACAGGAUGCUGGUUCUGAGAGAAGUGACUCACGAUGAUGAGGGGCUUUACGCCAUCAAACUGGUCUCUGGAUUCACCUACGAGGCCGUUCGUUUGAUUGUUUCAGAAUGCAUCAAGUCCUACCACGGAAAAUACGGCGAUAAGUUUGAGCACAGCAUCCCCGAAAACGGCUCCCUGCUGGAGUUCUCUCCCCGGGGCGCUCCGCCGGAGGCCAUGCCGGUCCUUCUGUGGAACCGGACCGACCCCGUGACCAGCGAUGCCGGCCGUGGCCGGCUGCGCGCGGGGAAAGUGUGGGUGGCUGAGAGGGUGACGCAAGCGGACCAGGGCAACUACACUGUGAGGGACAGCAAGGGGAGGGUCCUGCACCGCAGCUCCCUCAGCGUCCGCGGUGAGCAAAGGCGGAAGAUGACAGGAUGACCUUUAGGAAUUACCUCAACUUAAGGGUCCCGUCAUCUAUAACAUUUAUAUUUUAUCUUUCCCCCUCCACCUAACACCCUGCCAUGUCGUCGCAUUUCCUUCCUUCUCCACCCCUGUCUUUUGUGUUCAUGGUCCUGGGUGCAGAGCACUCCUUCAAUGUCACCCGCUUUACCAAGGAGUCUCUAAACCUGCCCCUCUUUCUUCCUGUCCCGCAUGUCCACCUCAUUUUUACCCCUACCCGAUUCCUUGACGAAUCCUCCCCGGGCCAUUUUGACCCCAAACCCCCCCGUGGUCCAGUGCAGCUGAUCCGUGAGGGCCACAUACUGGACCACGACAUGCGCUACAGGGGCCUCAUCUCGCUGGUCAGGAAUGGCAGCAUCAACGAGGUCGCCAUAGUGAGGCUGAAUUCAAGGCACGAUGGGUUUUAUGAAAUCAGGGACGUGGUCGGCAACCUGGUAUCCUCCACCUGGCUGCAGGUGAUUGAAAAGGGAGGCAGAUGGCGAGCGCUUCUCAGAUCCAUCACCGUCCCUUCUGGCUUGUUCGUGUCGCUGGUCGGUUUCAUCCUGUUCAUGAGGCGAUAUCCAAACUGCAGCCUGUCGCAGCUCGUCGCUGUCCUCAGAAUAAACCGCACGCCUCCAGCCAACCCUCCGAGGGUCAACAUCCAGGAUUACAGCCAGCCCAGCCCUCGGCCCUCCGGCUACCACGCGCACGCUGACCCGCCUGUAACGCCAAGAAAAUGCACCCCCAGCGCCAGUCCUACUCACGCCGGUUACUGUCCAGUUAUGGCAGGAACCGCCGAGAAUCAGGAAGCAAACACGUCGGCAGCAACGAGCUCCCCUCGUCCUCGUCGUCAUUCAACCUCGGAGCCGGACUCAUCUCACUACAAUGAGGAAGAGAGAAGGAUUUCCUUUUUGAUGCCCGGGGCUUCGGACUGUCUCCACUCCUCUGAAGACUGUGUUAAAUUCCAGAUAAAAAAAGAUGGGGAUAAUGGCAGGAGGAGCACGUCACGAGGUUACUUUUCCACUCUGCCACUAGACAGGGACACCUCUGAAUCCUGCAGUGUUUACACUUCAGAAAAACUCAACUUCUUAUAAAACACAGAACUGGAGCUGAAGGAAGAACAACAAGAAGAAAGAAGAAGAACAACAAGAUAUGGAGCAACUACAGUAUUGGAUUAUGAAAAUAAAUAACCCACCUGUGCCUUUAUGCAUAUUAGCCUAAUUUGAAUGGUAUGAUAAUUGCAUGCCCUUUUUUCAUGUUUGAGCAUUAGCUGAUCUGUCUCCUAUUUCACAUUUCUUGACGCUGAGGAUGGUGCUCCUGAAAUAUCCUGCUGUUACCUACCUCCAGACCCUCAGGACCAGUAUGAUCUGCACUGUAUUUGCUGAGUGUUGGUACGAGUGUGCUUGUGAUGUGAUGUCUAGGGCUACAUAGAAAUAAGAGUUGCGAUUAUUCAAAGGUUUACAAAAGGGAAUUCUAAAGUACUGUACAGUGAUAGAGAGAUUGUUUAUGUCUUUUUCCAUCCACCAUUUCCAAAUGCAACAACAAUUAAUAUCAUGUUCAAUGUCUGCUCAGCGGUUCAGUGGUUUUUCUGUGAUAGUGUAUUAACCCUCAAGGUAAUUGUAGUAAUAGCUUUGUGAAUUGUAACAUGAUCUACCACAUAUUCCAAUAGCCUGUUGUUCUAUAAACUCUGUGUAUGGGAUAAUAUCAUCACCAAAGCUUUCUAUUGACAAGAGAUUAGAGACUUUGGCUUGUGACAUUUUUGAACAUUCAAAACGUUACCUCUUAGACAAUAAAUUCAUGUUUAACACACACUUUUGAUUAUUUUCUGCUUUAAUGUACAGUAAGCUCGUUCGUAAGACAAUUGUUUCUUAUUUUGCUAU